UCCCACCAGUGGCUAAGUGAGGUCACAUCCCACCAGUGGCUAAGUGAGGUCACGUCCCGCCAGUGGCUAAGUGAGGUCACGUCCCGCCAGUGGCUAAGUGAGGUCACGUCCCGCCAGUGGCUAAGUGAGGUCACGUCCCGCCAGUGGCUAAGUGAGGUCACGUCCCGCCAGUGGCUAAGUGAGGUCACGUCCCGCCAGUGGCUAAGUGAGGUCACGUCCCGCCAGUGGCUAAGUGAGGUCACGUCCCGCCAGUGGCUAAGUGAGGUCACGUCCCGCCAGUGGCUAAGUGAGGUCACGUCCCGCCAGUGGCUAAGUGAGGUCACGUCCCGCCAGUGGCUAAGUGAGG